GAACCUAGACUGGCACAAGCGCCGUAGUGAUGUCACCGCCACUUAGUGGCGAACGGCGGCGGUUGUUGUUUUGGUGUUAAGGCGGGACGAGGCAGAGCUGGCGAUGUUGUGGAUGGCUUCAUGGUUGUGUUUCAUGACAGACGCGGGUCAUCCAGGAUUUCUCAAUCUCACUGCAGUCGCUCUCUCUCUUCAAUGCUCUCCGAGUCUUCCGUUUCAAGGCUGGCACGGCCCGGUUUUAUACAUUUGGGUUUUAAUCGGGUUUUAUAUAAAACCGGAGCACCUGGAUCCUGCCCAAAACCGGUUUUAUUCGGUUUUAUUAAAGUCAAGUCGGGAUUUCAGUCGCAGGCUCCCGUUAGCGGGGUUCGGGCCCGGGCUCGGUCGUCCUUGCGCGUGAGUCACGUGGUGCGUUCGGCAUGGCCACGUGGACCGCCGCUGCUGCUGCGUCUGAGCGAAACUUCUUCUCGACGAUGGGAUUGAUCCAUUCCAAGUUGAGGAACAGCCUGGCGCCCGACACAGUCGAGAAGCUCGUCUUCAUUAAGUCGAACCUCAACGCGUUCCACGACUACCCGGCGCCCGGCGACGGCCACGACAACACCGAGUCCAGCGGCGAGAGCGACGACGAAGACGACGCGGCGGACGACGACGACGACGAGGAGCAGGAUUGAAGUGUGCACGAGACGCCGAUAAUAAAACCAGGUUUUAAUCGGCAAACUCGGGUUUAAUUCCAUUAAAACCAAUAACCCGAUUUGUCGGGCAAAAGAAUCGGGUUUUCCCAGCUUUGGAGGAUAAUUGAUCAAGUCUGCACAGACGCACAAGAAAAAGACCCCCCCCCCAUAUAGCGUGUAACAUCCUUCUGUUCGCGAGCACCUAUAAAGGCUGGCAUAGCACAGUCACUUGUACACGCGUAUGCAAAAUCAGGUGUCAACCCCACAGGUGAGCAGGUGUGUUGCUGUUAGGGAAGGGCAGAGCGAGCAAAGGUGGAGAUGUUUACCGUUUGUCUUUUACACUUUGCAAGUACAACUGGAUUUAUUCCGUGGCUACAUAACAUAUAUUUCACUUUUCAGUAGCACGCGAAGUGGUAAAACUAGGUCGUGUCUUUUCAGAAGGUAUAUUACUCGACAUGACAUAGAAUUGGAAAAUAACCCUUGCGAAAAUGUUCAUACAGCGGUUAUCACAAAUGUUAUCUUUUGUUGGCUAUACAGAAUUUUUUCACUCUGGGUUUGCCACCAGACUCCGCACCGGCUCAUGUCCAAGAGCAGACUUGCGCACAUACAAGAGAGUGUGUGUCUGCUUAAGAUGUUACGCCCUAAAUGGAGCACUUUAGCAUCUGCAAAUAUACAAACUUGCACGCUAUGGUACAUUGUAAACCGUCAAAAUGACUACAUCAGGCUCUUGCCCAUGACACAAGUUGUGUUAGUUUAACAGGCCACACUUUAGUAAUGAUACUCAGUGAAGACACAACCUUACAUAGGUUCCCAAAUACAAAUCUAGAAGGCCCAUUGGCGAAUUGAUUCAACAUUAACCAACCACUGACAUGUUUUAUUGACGCAUAUAGUAACUGUGUAUAAAUUACAAUAUUUACUAUUACAAAUGUUGGUCAUGAAGAUAAAAAACAAAGAGCAUUGGUGCAAUUCACAACGUUACAGAGCAUUUGUUAGAGUCCCUGCCACGAAGAGUGCGAGCGUGUUUUGGUUCACUUCUCAAUUUGAAUUUUGACUUAAUUUGACCCAAUAAAAGAUCUGACUUCUCAAUUUGACCCAAUAAAUUAUCUGAAAAGUAAAUUAUCUGCUAUACAAAGUAUUUUUUCCACAAAAUUUGCGAAAGGACUCUCGGCUUUUUCCAAAAUGAUAAUUAGCUUUGUAACUGUGCACUGAUUCAUUAAAGUAUACUUUGAUGCUCACGUUAGACGCACCUAUUUGUGCACGAGGAUCAAUUCCCAAGCCACCAAAUCUGUGUCGGGCGAAUUAAUACAUGUCUUAGUAAUUAGACCCACCAGGUGACAUCCCACAUCUUGGUAUGUGGUUGCAGGGACAGAUGGUACGUAUACAGAUUUAUGUGCCCCAUCAAACACUGGUCAGACCAGUCUCUGACAACCACAGUCAGCCACCCCCAGGGCCCCCACUCAGGGGCCUUCCUCCUGCACGAGGGGAAAGUGCCCCCGUCUCUCUCUCCCCGUGCGAUGUCCACUCGGGCUGCCACUCAGGCGUGGAGGGUGAGAGGCUCUGCUUAAUGGGCAGCCCUCGCUAACAAGGGCGCAGAAGAAUGGCCAUUGUCCAAGUUUGCGUGGCACUCCUGCACCAACAAGGUAAUCCUGCACGGUGCUACUGUGGUUCAGCGACUCUGGGAUAAGCAGCUACAAACACUGCGAGCACCCUCUUUGGGGUUUAGUGGAAAUUCCUUUGAAGUUUUACACAAACGAGAGAAAGUCUCUUAUCCACGACCCUAUUACCUAGUACUAGAUGGUCCAUGAAAAAACCCGUCACCCGUGGCACUAUUCUUGCUAUGAUCCGUGAUUAUCCACAGACCUUUCCCAUGGAUGAGUGGAGUCAAUUUGGAGUUCACCCCGCCACUAACAGGAUCGUGAUAUUGGUGGGCCACACUGCCGCAGAUCACAGGAGAUCUGUGUAGACUGGAGAGUGCCUGCACGAGAUGGCAACAGGGGCACGAGCUGAGCGAAUAUGUCGUGCGCAACGAGUUAUGUUCCAGUGAAACAACCGGCGACUUUAUCUCCACACCCUGCACGUCCCGAGCACCCAAGACCUUUCGCGAAAGCUCUGCAGCAUCCAAUAAUUGCACAUUUUGCCCUUUGCAAAUUGUUGCACACUCUCCUUGCCCCCCCCCCCGCCUUUCCCGGGCUCGUUCCCUUCUGACCAAGGGCUAUUUUGUCUGGCGGGAGAGACAGGGGGCGGAACCCCCGGGGAUUACGAGGGAGGAGAGCGACGUUUCGUUGAGCGCCACAGCCCCGGCACCGCUCGAUCAGACCGGGUCGUAACCUCGUGCUCUACAGAGGCAGGUGGCCGCCUUGCGUCUCGGCUCCCCCAGCCUCCACCGCACUGGCCGGGCUCGCUCGCCCUCUGCGCUGUACACCAGGAAGCUCGGCAUACAACCCCGAGCAGCGGGUCUCCACGAGACAAGGCGGUGUGGCCACGCGUGGAGGCCUGUACCGCCGAUCCGUACGAUGCGCGACGCAUCGAAUUGCCCCACGUGACAACUGCGUAGCAUUUCUACAAAUUGUAUGCAAGUGAUACGUCACAUUUUUGCAGCCAGUGCAGCAAACAGUAAUUAACGUGCAACCAUGCAGUGUUGCCAUUGUAGUGAUUUUGUCGCAAGAUUUUACUCAUUUUGUUGGGUUUCCCCAGCGACAAAAUUUCGUCAAGAACGACUCACGGCAAACCGAGAAUUUCUGGGACAUUUAAGAGCAAUACCCGGUGUAUAAUUAAACUUGUAUCAGUUUACGGUGAGUGACACCGGAUAGAGUCUAGUGACAGUAUUCCCAGUGUCUGCAUCGAGGGCUCUGUAUAAGAUGUACGACGUGAAAUACUUAAACAAAAAUGUCUCGUGACAUAGUUAACACAUUUUAAAAGUCUGCCUCGUGACGUAAAGUGACUUUUCAAGGUUCGUUUCGCGACUUGCUGCUUUAAGGAGUUGGGAAACACUGCACACAAGACUGUAAAAUAAAAAUACAACAAACAAUUGAUUUUUCAAUUUAAUCGCAAGCCCAAGUUCUGACAUUUCAUCAAAUCGCCAGGUGAUGAAUCCUUAAAAACCUGGUUACCACCACCAACCAACCAAUACUUGUUUUUGUAAAGUAGAUAUAAGUCACUAUCAAGACUACAGCAGAUACUGGCUAACGCCUUCAAACCUGGAGCCCCCUGUACAGCUUCUCAUCCCCCCAGACUGGGAAUCACGCAUCACGGUGAACUUCUUAGCUCAGAACACCGGCGCCCAAUAAAGGGGGGGGGGGGGGGGAAUACAAAAAGCAAAUAAUGUCCAGCGAGUCAGGUCUCAACAUCUGGCCUCCGUCACUCGGUGUAACUAAGCCAGCAAAAGAUUCAAAAGCAUUCAACAGCGUGACAGACAAGACAGGGGGAAACAGACUGGCACUUUUGUCUAUUAAGACACCGGGGGGUUUGUGAAUCGCAGACCCAUCCAUUCUCCCUCGGCAUACACUGCUUUAAAGGUGGUAAUUAUAUGUUUGCAUGCGUCUGUCAUUUCUAUGAAAUGCCGGGGGAUUACCGAAUGUCGAACUGGGGCGGCGCCAACAAGCGAAGCUUGAACACGCGACCGCUUUUAUUUCGGUGCUUAUCGGUCGCUGUUUGUGUGCUUUCGUUAAAACACACAUCAUCGCAACGUCCAUUUCUUUAAAGAUAUAUAUUUUGCAAUGUUUACCGUUUCCCAUAAUUUAUUUGAUCAUUUUCAGCCUCUUAAGUGCGAGGAUGUACCAAAGGAAUUCUUCAUUGCGAAUCAUUUAGGAAUGUACGCGUGGAUGUUUUUUUGCACGCGCAUUCAAUCAGGGCUUUUAGCGGAUCUCUCAAGUAUUUUUGUUCAAUGCAAACAUAACCGAUUAGGACCGUUUAACAGUGGAGCCUCCUGCCCACAAGGGACAUCUAUCAAAAUGAGAAACUGCUUAAAGCCCGAUGUGCCAAAUAGUGUAUACCUUUCUUAAAUCACUGCGGUCGCGAAUGUUAUUCUUGAACGAGCCCCCAAACGUGCAAGUUGGCCCUGCUUUUUUGGAACAACUUGGCAUGAAAGAGGUCUUUGUGGGCGAAACACAUUUAUAUUUAAGUGUGCUGAUAUUGGCCAAAAUAUCGCAAUAUAUCCAGCAGUGUAUUAUGAACUUGUAUAUACUCAUGUGCACAGCUGUUAUACAUUUAUAUUCGAAGCUACAAUUACGUUUUUUUCAAACGUCUAAAUAAAAUACAUUAAGUACUGUGCAAAUGAAAUAAAAUCCUGCAUUUUGCUUGUU